AAUUGUAAAUUUAGCCACACCAUUAUACCUCACACACUACCACCUAAACCAUUUAUACAUAUUAGUAUAGGCGAUAGAAAAUUAAUAAGCGCAAUAAAUAAAGUACUGUAAAGGAACAAUGAAAUAGAAAUUAAAUAAAUCAUAAAAAUAUAACGUAAAAGGGGUGAAAACCCGUACCUUUUGCAUCAUGGUUUAGCAAGUAUAACCCAACGAAAAGAAUUUUGUAGGAUACCCCGAAACCAAACGAGCUACCCAGUGGCAUUUAACGAAUUAACCCAACUCUGUAGCAAAAGAGUGGGAAGACCACCAGGUAGAGGUAAAACGCCUAACGAGUCUGGAUAUAGCUGGUUACUUGAGGAAUGAAUUUUAGUUCAACUAUAAGCAACUAUACCACAAAGGAACGCGCUUAUAAUAUAAUUAAUUAAGGUACAGCUUAAUUAAUAAAGGAAAUAACCUAUAUAAAUGAGUAAAGCUUAUAAUUAUUAAGGGAUUUUUUUUAUCAGUAGGCCUAAAAGCAGCCAUCAACAAAAAAGCGUUAAAGCUUACUACACCAACCAUCCAAAUAAAUUUACUAAACUCAUAURAAAAAUCAAGUUAAUCUAUUUAUAGAAAAAUUACUGCUAAAAUGAGUAACGGGGAAUUACCUCAUCAUACAUGUGUAAAUCGAAAUGAACCAAUCACCGAUAGUUAACGAACCUUUAUAAUGCAAGACUAUACCGCAUCGUUAACCCAACACAGGAGUAUUAAGAGAAGACUUAAAGUCUAGAAAGGAACUCGGCAAACCGAGCCCCGCCUGUUUACCAAAAACAUCGCCUUUUGAAUUACACAUAUAAAAGGUCCUGCCUGCCCAGUGACAUUGUUCAACGGCCGCGGUAUCAUGACCGUGCAAAGGUAGCGUAAUCACUUGUCUUUUAAAUAAAGACUAGUAUGAACGGCAAAACGAGAGCUCAACUGUCUCACUAGAUUAGUCAGUGAAAUUAAUUUUUCCGYGCAGAAACGGAAAUGUACAUAUAAGACGAGAAGACCCUGUGGAGCUUUAAACCAACACUAAUGCAUACAAGCAGCGUAGAAUACGUUUUAGGUUGGGGCGACCGUAAGGAAAAACAAACCCUUAAGACAUUAACUAGAAGGACACUUCAAAUAAAUAGUUAACACUAAAAUUGACCCAUAAUUGAUCAACGAACCAAGUUACCCCAGGGAUAACAGCGCAAUCCACUCAUAGAGCCCAUAUCGACGAGGGGGUUUACGACCUCGAUGUUGGAUCAGGACCACCUAAUAGUGCAACAACUAUUAAAGGUUCGUUUGUUCAACGAUUAAAGUCCUACGUGAUCUGAGUUCAGACCGGAGUAAUCCAGGUCAGUUUCUAUCUAUAAUAAAACUUUUCCAGUACGAAAGGACCGGAAAGCUAAGGCCAAUGGAUUUCCCUAAGCCUUCUCACAUAACCCAUGAAGAUAAAUAAAUGGGGACACGAGAAAAAUUAAAG
rnacentral:rRNA from 1 species